GACGAACGCUGGCGGCGUGCCUAAUACAUGCAAGUUGAGCGCUGAAGGUUGGUACUUGUACCAACUGGAUGAGCAGCGAACGGGUGAGUAACGCGUGGGGAAUCUGCCUUUGAGCGGGGGACAACAUUUGGAAACGAAUGCUAAUACCGCAUAACAACUUUAAACACAAGUUUUAAGUUUGAAAGAUGCAAUUGCAUCACUCAAAGAUGGUCCCGCGUUGUAUUAGCUAGUUGGUGAGGUAAAGGCUCACCAAGGCGAUGAUACAUAGCCGACCUGAGAGGGUGAUCGGCCACAUUGGGACUGAGACACGGCCCAAACUCCUACGGGAGGCAGCAGUAGGGAAUCUUCGGCAAUGGACGAAAGUCUGACCGAGCAACGCCGCGUGAGUGAAGAAGGUUUUCGGAUCGUAAAACUCUGUUGGUAGAGAAGAACGUUGGUGAGAGUGGAAAGCUCAUCAAGUGACGGUAACUACCCAGAAAGGGACGGCUAACUACGUG
rnacentral:rRNA from 1 species